rnacentral:rRNA from 1 species
GAUGAACGCUGGCGGCGUGCCUAAUACAUGCAAGUCGAGCGAACGGACGAGAAGCUUGCUUUUCUGAUGUUAGCGGCGGACGGGUGAGUAACACGUGGAUAACCUACCUAUAAGACUGGGAUAACUUCGGGAAACCGGAGCUAAUACCGGAUAAUAUUUUGAACCGCAUGGUUCAAAAGUGAAAGACGGUCUUGCUGUCACUUAUAGAUGGAUCCGCGCUGCAUUAGCUAGUUGGUAAGGUAACGGCUUACCAAGGCAACGAUGCAUAGCCGACCUGAGAGGGUGAUCGGCCACACUGGAACGGAGACACGGUCCAGACUCCUACGGGAGGCAGCAGUAGGGAAUCUUCCGCAAUGGGCGAAAGCCUGACGGAGCAACGCCGCGUGAGUGAUGAAGGUCUUCGGAUCGUAAAACUCUGUUAUUAGGGAAGAACAUAUGUGUAAGUAACUGUGCACAUCUUGACGGUACCUAAUCAGAAAGCAACGGCUAACUACGUG